rnacentral:rRNA from 1 species
UACGAAGGGGGCUAGCGUUGUUCGGAAUUACUGGGCGUAAAGCGCGCGCAGGCGGUUUCUCAAGUCAGUGGUGAAAGCCCGGAGCUCAACUCCGGAACUGCCAUUGAAACUGUGAAACUUGAGGACGAGAGAGGUGAGUGGAAUUCCCAGUGUAGAGGUGAAAUUCGUAGAUAUUGGGAAGAACACCGGUGGCGAAGGCGGCUCACUGGCCCGGUACUGACGCUGAGGUGCGAAAGCGUGGGGAGCAAACAGG